AGUGUGGUGUAGUGGUUAGGGUAUUGGAUUAGAACUGGAGAGACCAGGGUUCAAAUCCCUCUCAGACUA